AGCGAACGCUGGCGGCAGGCCUAACACAUGCAAGUCGAACGAAGUCUUCGGACUUAGUGGCGGACGGGUGAGUAACACGUGGGAACGUGCCUUUAGGUUCGGAAUAACUCAGGGAAACUUGUGCUAAUACAGAAUGUGCCCUUCGGGGGAAAGAUUUAUCGCCUUUAGAGCGGCCCGCGUCUGAUUAGCUGGUUGGUGAGGUAAUGGUUCACCAAGGCUACGAUCAGUAGCUGGUCUGAGAGGAUGACCAGCGACAUUGGGACGUGGACUCGGCCCAGACUCCCACGGGAGUGAUCAGUGUGUAAGCUUGCGCAAUGAGCGAAAUCCUGCCGCAGCCAUGCCGGGUGGAUGAUGAAGGUCUUGGGAUGGUAAAAUCCUUUCACCGGUGAAGAUAAUGACUGUAGCCGGAGAAGAAGCCCCGGCUAACUUCGUGCCAGCCGCCGCCGUAACAC
rnacentral:rRNA from 1 species